GACGGAGGAUGCAAGCGUUAUCCGGAAUUAUUGGGCGUAAAGCGUCCGCAGGUGGCUGUUCAAGUCUGCUGUCAAAGCGCAGAGCUUAACUCUGUACAGGCGGUGGAAACUGAAGAGCUAGAGUAUGGUAGGGGUAGAGGGAAUUCCCGGUGUAGCGGUGAAAUGCGUAGAUAUCGGGAAGAACACCAGUGGCGAAAGCGCUCUACUGGACGGUAUCUGACACUGAGGGACGAAAGCUAGGGGAGCGAAUGGG
rnacentral:rRNA from 1 species